rnacentral:lncRNA from 1 species
CAAACCCUAGCCCCCCUUUGCUUCUCUCCUUGGCCGACCCUAAAUCCCUCCCCUUGAUCGCCGAUCCGCCACCAUAAACGGCGACCAGUGUGUUCGAGCCUUGAGGGUUGUUUUUUCAGCCUUGAGAUCCACUUUCAACCUCGAUUUCAACGAAGCAAAAGGAAACCCAUGGCAUAUUUGUAAGGUAAGGCUUCUUUUUUUUUUUCAAAUGCAAUAAUGAAAGACCAAAGGAAAUAAAUCGAAAGAAAAAUCAAAAACUUAGGGAAACUUGAAUCAGAAAUCACUUUUAAAAAUUUUGAUUGCUUUCUUUGUAUUCAAUAUGUGUUCGUAAGGAAAAUACAAGUCUCUGAUAUGGCUUUAUAUAGCCGAAUAAAAAUAGAAUUACAAAAGCUAUUUUUCCUUUUGUUUGUUAUUUCUCUGUUGUUGCUGUGCUGUUAUUUUUCUUCUCACAUGUUCGACUGAUGUGGAGAUGGCCGUAUGGAGGAGAAGACCGUGACUUGGAGACCGAUUCCAUGGCAUGCGAGGCUGCGACGCAUCCUAGGGUUUCAAUUCCUGAAACCACAAUCUGGAUCAUUUGGGCUUAUUUUAGGAUUGGGCCGGUUUUAAGAUUGGGCCAUUGGGCCUUGUGGAUUAGGUUACUGGGUUAUUAGGCCAUUCGGGUUAGGUUUAUUGGGUUAUUUUAAUUUGAUAUUUAGUUGGGCUUAUUGUAAUUGAUGGACAUUGGACUAAUAAAUUUGGACUUUUAUUGGUUUUGUUUUAAUUUAUUUUUGGUUUAUUUAUUUUUUUGAUAAUUUAUGGGCCCGGGCAAAAUGGGCCUUUUACAACAGGUAUGCUAUGCCAUAACACAGGACUUCCCCAUGGCCAUUUAACAAGGUAUGUAUUUUAGCUAUAAAAUCUUAAUUCAAAAUAUUUUUUUGAAUCAAAAUAAAUUAGUAUCUUGAAUCUAAGUUUGAGUUCUGCUGUGCAGGAUCCAAUAUAUGGCAAGCACAGAGCAUCCUUUCAAAUUUUAUUUUUAAAAUUCAUGAUUCUCUUUAUCUUUGCUUAGACCCAGAAAAGAAAUAAAAGGCUUUAGAAAGCCAUAGUAUAAAACACACUGAAAAUUUUAUUAGAUGGAACCUUGAUGCCUUACAAUGUGAAAUAUAUCUCCUUUUAUAGAUAGAGGAGAUAGAAACCGACAAACAUAGCUGUAGUACAAACUAAUAAUACAUUACAGUACACAC